rnacentral:rRNA from 1 species
AGAGUUUGAUCCUGGCUCAGGAUGAACGCUAGCUACAGGCUUAACACAUGCAAGUCGAGGGGCAGCAUGGUCUUAGCUUGCUAAGGCCGAUGGCGACCGGCGCACGGGUGAGUAACACGUAUCCAACCUGCCGUCUACUCUUGGACAGCCUUCUGAAAGGAAGAUUAAUACAAGAUGGCAUCAUGAGUCCGCAUGUUCACAUGAUUAAAGGUAUUCCGGUAGACGAUGGGGAUGCGUUCCAUUAGAUAGUAGGCGGGGUAACGGCCCACCUAGUCUUCGAUGGAUAGGGGUUCUGAGAGGAAGGUCCCCCACAUUGGAACUGAGACACGGUCCAAACUCCUACGGGAGGCAGCAGUGAGGAAUAUUGGUCAAUGGGCGAGAGCCUGAACCAGCCAAGUAGCGUGAAGGAUGACUGCCCUAUGGGUUGUAAACUUCUUUUAUAAAGGAAUAAAGUCGGGUAUGCAUACCCGUUUGCAUGUACUUUAUGAAUAAGGAUCGGCUAACUCCGUGCCAGCAGCCGCGGUAAUACGGAGGAUCCGAGCGUUAUCCGGAUUUAUUGGGUUUAAAGGGAGCGUAGAUGGAUGUUUAAGUCAGUUGUGAAAGUUUGCGGCUCAACCGUAAAAUUGCAGUUGAUACUGGAUAUCUUGAGUGCAGUUGAGGCAGGCGGAAUUCGUGGUGUAGCGGUGAAAUGCUUAGAUAUCACGAAGAACUCCGAUUGCGAAGGCAGCCUGCUAAGCUGCAACUGACAUUGAGGCUCGAAAGUGUGGGUAUCAAACAGGAUUAGAUACCCUGGUAGUCCACACGGUAAACGAUGAAUACUCGCUGUUUGCGAUAUACUGCAAGCGGCCAAGCGAAAGCGUUAAGUAUUCCACCUGGGGAGUACGCCGGCAACGGUGAAACUCAAAGGAAUUGACGGGGGCCCGCACAAGCGGAGGAACAUGUGGUUUAAUUCGAUGAUACGCGAGGAACCUUACCCGGGCUUAAAUUGCAGAUGAAUUACGGUGAAAGCCGUAAGCCGCAAGGCAUCUGUGAAGGUGCUGCAUGGUUGUCGUCAGCUCGUGCCGUGAGGUGUCGGCUUAAGUGCCAUAACGAGCGCAACCCUUGUUGUCAGUUACUAACAGGUUCCGCUGAGGACUCUGACAAGACUGCCAUCGUAAGAUGUGAGGAAGGUGGGGAUGACGUCAAAUCAGCACGGCCCUUACGUCCGGGGCUACACACGUGUUACAAUGGGGGGUACAGAGGGCCGCUACCACGCGAGUGGAUGCCAAUCCCCAAAACCUCUCUCAGUUCGGACUGGAGUCUGCAACCCGACUCCACGAAGCUGGAUUCGCUAGUAAUCGCGCAUCAGCCACGGCGCGGUGAAUACGUUCCCGGGCCUUGUACACACCGCCCGUCAAGCCAUGAAAGCCGGGGGUACCUGAAGUACGUAACCGCAAGGAGCGUCCUAGGGUAAAACUGGUAAUUGGGGCUAAGUCGUAACAAGGUAGCCGUACCGGAAGGUGCGGCUG